rnacentral:lncRNA from 1 species
UAUGAUAAUGUAUUCAAUAACUCAUAUAUAAGAAUAAUGUGAAGGCGAUACGGUCAACAUAUCGGUAUUCCAAGUUCUCGAUACCAAUAUUAGUGGUUUCAUUAUUAAAGCGAUCAAGGCCAUACAUCUACCUCCAGAACAGUAUAUUUAAAGGAAAUUGUCAAAAUCCUCGAGUCAAAAUCCUCUUGACAUAAUGUUGGCAUCUAAUAAAAACACAGAGUAAACGUGAACAUCCCAACAACAAAAACACACUGAGUACAGAUCGAAGAUUACUCGCAGUUACUGACAGCUAGCUCAAAGUCAAUUACAUUUAACUGAUAAAAAAAAAAGCAUGCAUCUUAAGAGUAGAUUAUAAAUCAGUUCACAUUCAAUAUCAAAUUUCACAUAACUGUCAUGUACAUGUGUACAUGCAUGUCGUUUAGCCAAUCUUGGAUAACUUUUGGAUUGAUAACCUAUAUCCUUUCUUUUCUCUGACCCA